GCUGUAGCUCAGUGGGAGAACAUCUGGUUUGUGUCCAGAAGGUUCCAGGUUCAAUCCUUGGCAUCUCCA